UGGGGAAUUUUGGACAAUGGGCGAAAGCCUGAUCCAGCAAUGCCGCGUGUGUGAAGAAGGCCUUCGGGUUGUAAAGCACUUUUGUCCGGAAAGAAAUCCUUGGCUCUAAUACAGUCGGGGGAUGACGGUACCGGAAGAAUAAGCACCGGCUAACUACGUGCCAGCAGCCGCGGUAAUACGUAGGGUGCAAGCGUUAAUCGGAAUUACUGGGCGUAAAGCGUGCGCAGGCGGUUUGCUAAGACCGAUGUGAAAUCCCCGGGCUCAACCUGGGAACUGCAUUGGUGACUGGCAGGCUAGAGUAUGGCAGAGGGGGGUAGAAUUCCACGUGUAGCAGUGAAAUGCGUAGAGAUGUGGAGGAAUACCGAUGGCGAAGGCAGCCCCCUGGGCCAAAUACUGACGCUCAUGCACGAAAAGCGUGGGGAGCAAACAGGAUUAGAUACCCUGGUAGUCCACGCCCUAAAACGAUGUCAACUAGUUGUUGGGGAUUCAUUUCCUUAGUAACGUAGCUAACGCGUGAAGUUGACCGCCUGGGGAGUACGGUCGCAAGAUUAAAACUCAAAGGAAUUGACGGGGU
rnacentral:rRNA from 1 species